rnacentral:rRNA from 1 species
CCCGUAGGCGGUUCGUCGCGUCCGGUGUGAAAGUCCAUCGUUUAACGGUGGAUCCGCGCCGGGUACGGGCGGGCUUGAGUGCGGUAGGGGAGACUGGAAUUCCCGGUGUAACGGUGGAAUGUGUAGAUAUCGGGAAGAACACCAAUGGCGAAGGCAGGUCUCUGGGCCGUCACUGACGCUGAGGAGCGAAAGCGUGGGGAGCGAACA